GAGUUGGGAGUUCUAUUCUUUUCUGUUUGGUUGUUUGUUUGCUUGUUUGGUUGGUUGGUUGGUCGGUUGGUUGGUUUUGGCUAUCUCUCAGCCAGAUAUAUUGUCUUAGAAGAUUCUUCUCUGCUUUCCUCCUAUAGUGCUCUUUUUCUCUAUCAAGAAUAUGGAAUAUUUAUCCCACCAGAGGGAAUACCUACAACUGGAUUCUCUGCGAUCAGGCCUCCAAACUAAGAACCCAAAGAAUGGAUAUCACAGAAAAGAGACCAGAUGGCAAGAAUAAGAAGAAAAGAAUCAGAACAAGUCAUACUUCUCUUAGUAACAGGACAGCAAGACCCAGACUGGCAUCCGGUCGGGAGAAAGCAGCACCCACUGUCGCUACGCCUUCUUUCCCCAACAUGCCAAAUAUUCCAGAGUAAAUUUACAGAUGGGCUCAAACUAUAAUGUUUGGGUAAUUGUAGAUAUAAAUGUCCCCUUUGAAAACUUAUUAUUCGUUGGUGUAUCUUAUAUGAUAUUUAACACUAUAAUCUCUCAGAAAGUUUUCUCCUCUUUUCGAAUGGUAAUUGACAAUGAAUACUAAACUUUUUAAAUGUCAUUUCUCUGCUCCUUCCUAUUAUUUUUUUCUUUAAUUUUGUAUCCCAACUAUCUGGCUAGUGGAGAUAAUUAACUUCUUAAUAUAGUUUGAAAGCUCAUUCUGCUUGAAGGCUUUAUUCUAUCAAACCUUCUUAUUGUUUGAUAAAGAUUUUGCAGUUAAAGUUUAAAAUUCAGAUAAAAUAGUAAAUAAGUCCUAAAACAGCUUAAAAGUAGUAAAUUAUUUUAAUUAAGAGCUUUUUAAUUAUUUUUUAUUUAUUAAUUGAAUUGAUAAUUAUAUAUUGAACAGCUCUGCAGGUUACAUAUUUUAAAUAACAAUAAUGAAAUGGGUAGCAUACUGUUUACAUGAAUGCUUAGCUUAUGCUUCCUCAGUAUAUGCAUAGAAAUUUCAUACCACCUACAUGAAAUGGAUUCUGAGAUUUUGAGAAAAAUGUUGUAGUUGGGUUAUUAUUAUUAUUAUACACAUUGAUAAUUGCCCAUGGUGAUUUUCUUUUUGCAAUAUCAGAUGGCAACUGGUUGGUACCAAAGUGAUUAAAUCAUGAAAUUAUAUAUUAACAAAUACAAAUAAAUGUAAUCCCCACAUUACUAUUUAUGGCUUAUAAUUUCAUUUCAUUAAAAAUGUCACAUAGAAAAAAGGAUCACAUUAGUUACUUAAUAAUUUGCUAGAGCUGUGUGAUUCUUAAAGCCUUAACAAAGAGACAUAAUAUUUGAAUUGUGUGGUUUUAAUACUGUAUAAAGCACUUCAAGGAAUAGGACAAAAGAUAAAAGAUAUGCUCUUACCAACAGCAUUUGUUCUUGAUAUACAUCUAUAUACUAUAUAUCUAUAUACUGUAUAUCUAUAUACUGUAUAUAUGUAUAUCAUAUACUGUAUAUCAAGAACAAAUAUAUUAAUGCACUUAUAUAUA